AAAUUGAAGAGUUUGAUCAUGGCUCAGAUUGAACGCUGGCGGCAGGCCUAACACAUGCAAGUCGAGCGGAAACGACACUAACAAUCCUUCGGGUGCGUUAAUGGGCGUCGAGCGGCGGACGGGUGAGUAAUGCCUAGGAAAUUGCCUUGAUGUGGGGGAUAACCAUUGGAAACGAUGGCUAAUACCGCAUAAUGCCUACGGGCCAAAGAGGGGGAUCUUCGGACCUCUCGCGUCAAGAUAUGCCUAGGUGGGAUUAGCUAGUUGGUGAGGUAAUGGCUCACCAAGGCGACGAUCCCUAGCUGGUCUGAGAGGAUGAUCAGCCACACUGGAACUGAGACACGGUCCAGACU
rnacentral:rRNA from 1 species